rnacentral:rRNA from 1 species
GAUGAACGCUGGCGGCGUGCUUAACACAUGCAAGUCGAACGGAAAGGCCAGUGCUUGCACUGGUACUCGAGUGGCGAACGGGUGAGUAACACGUGGGUGAUCUGCCCUGCACUUCGGGAUAAGCCUGGGAAACUGGGUCUAAUACCGGAUAGGACAAUGGUUUGGAUGCCGUUGUGGAAAGUUUUUUCGGUGUGGGAUGAGCUCGCGGCCUAUCAGCUUGUUGGUGGGGUAAUGGCCUACCAAGGCGUCGACGGGUAGCCGGCCUGAGAGGGUGUACGGCCAAUUUGGGCGUAGGUACCGCCCCGACCCCCUCCGGGGGGAGCAAUGGGGAAUAUUGGACAAUGGGGGGAAGGCCGGAGGAGGGACGCCGCGGUGGGGAUUACGGGCUUUGGGUUUGAAACCCCUUUCGGUAGGGACGAAGGGGAUUUGGGACGGGAACUUGAGAAGGAGCACCGGCUAAAUAAGUG